GACAGAGGUGCCGAGCGUUAGGCGGAAUCACUGGGCUUAAAGCGUGUGUAGGCGGGUCGUUAAGUGUCUUGUGAAAUCCCACCGCUCAACGGUGGAACUGCUGGGCAUACUGGCGAUCUUGAGCCACCUAGGGGCAGACGGAACAAGCGGUGGAGCGGUGAAAUGCGCAGAUAUCAGGAGGAACACCGGUGGCGAAGGCGGGUCUCUGGGCCGAUACUGACGCUGAGGAGCGAAAGCGUGGGGAGCGAACAGG
rnacentral:rRNA from 1 species